rnacentral:tRNA from 1 species
GCUUUGAUAGUAUAAAAAUUAUUCAGGUCUUGUAAACCUGAGAUGAGAAUUUCCUUCUCUCAAAGCA